UACGGGGGGGGCAAGCGUUGUUCGGAAUUACUGGGCGUUAAAGGGCGUCGUAGGUGGCCAACGUAAGUCCAUACGUGAAAUCCCAUCAGCUUAACUGGGGAACUGCGCCUGAUACUGGUUGGCUUGAGUUUGGGAGAGGGACGCGGAAUUCCAGGUGUAGCGGUGAAAUGCGUAGAUAUCUGGAGGAACACCGGUGGCGAAGGCGGCGUCCUGGACCAAUACUGACACUGAGGAGCGAAAGCCAGGGGAGACAAACGGG
rnacentral:rRNA from 1 species